CCAUUAAAAGCAACGUUAAUUUCUUUUUCAUUUUAGGAAUACGUCAGGUUUGCGCCAGUUCAUUUACAAGAGUAUUGAAAAACUGUGGCGACAAGAGUUUUUGCGACACGGAGUUAUUUGAAUGGUACUUGGCAACACGGCACUGCAAAUACUGCGACACUGGCUGUGUUCAAACAAUUUUCACCUUUAAAAGAUACAUGUUAAUAAUACCACACAAGAGAGAACGGUGUCUUUCUGCAUCCUUCCACAAAAGAGGACACCUGGAUCAUUCUCUGACUCUGAUGUUUGGCGAUUGGGGACCUGCAUAGCAUAUAUAGGUACCCAAGGAAGUUACCACCUUCUAUGUCUAUUAGCUGGGUGAUGCUUAUAUAAUCUUUGACUGAGGGUUCAAUCAGCUGCAGGCAGAUGAAUAUGCAUCAGGAGACAAAUAUUUAUGAUAAAUGGAGGAUAGCAUUACAUAGUUUAGCUCAAUCUUGUAUUUCUAAACACUAGAUUACAAGGAAUUAAAAGUAUACGUCAGGUUUGCGUCAGUUCAUUUACAAGAGUAUUGAAAGACUGUGGCGACAAGAGUUUUGCGACACGGAGUUAUUU